UUGAAAGAAAAUUGCUUAGAAUCAUUCUUCUGUCUCUAAAUAACAUUGCAUUUGCUUCUAAGACUUAUACAUAAAAUAAGAUGCAUUCCACACACUCCUAGAAAGCCUCCUGCACAAGAUGAGUAGUCACAAUGUCCUUGUCAGGAAGGCAAACUGAUCAGCAGUAACAGGACAGAUCAACAGGUGGUUUCUAGUUUUUACUAAUUUUUCUCAUUAUUGUAAGAAAAAAAACACAGUAAAAAGCCAUUUGCAAAGGAAAAGCAUCUAGGAACACAUAGGCAUUCAAGGUCUUUUUGUGGAUGCUGUUCGUUAUACAGUUUAACAGGCUCUUCUCUGAAGAUCUCUCCCACUGAAAGCACACAAAUGUCAUGCUUGUAGGUGAUCUUCUGGGGUCCCCCAGAGAGCAGUAAAUUUCACUUGGGAAUACAGGCACCAAAAUGAGCUCUUGAUACUGAAGGCGGCACAGCACUGUGUAGGUCACAAAGACCUGGGAAAAAAACCAGCUGCGGAAUAAUUACAUACACUGCAAGCAAAAGGGAACAAGAGUUGGAGAAGAGAAUUCAAAAUCUAGGUAACAUCACCACAGCAUGGCAGGUUGCUUUGAACCAGGCAUCUCCUGACCAGAGCAAACCCUGCACAUGCACUAGGCAGGCUUUGCAGAAGAUCUCUACCCAGGGGCCAGUUCUGGAAUUCAGGGACAACAGUGGAGCAAGCCAUAAAACCCAUGAGCUGCAGAAAUACCAGGGGUGAUUUUCACAGCUUCACCUGGACUCUGAGAAGUUUGCAGGUAUGGACAACUCAGCUACUUGCAAGGCCUUGUGUUGCUCAGCUGCUAGAAGCCUGCUCCCAGCAAGAGACCUCCUAACCACACCAGCAGCCAGGCCCUUCACAAAUGCAUGAACAGCCGUGCAGCCCUGACAAGUCCCCAAGUGUAGCUCCAGCUGAGCAGCUAGUCACAUCUCACUGCCAUACAUUACUGCCUCACAAUGAAUGGAAGCAAUGCCCUUCCUGCCAAUUGCCUUACCUUGGUAAGGCCCCUAUCACCCCAGUCUACUCUUUGGCCCUUGGACAGCGCUAUCUAAGCAGCAAGGCCACAUGUUGGCCAGCAGCUAAUGGCUCCUGCUGCUUCAAGCAAGAGGGUUCACCAAGUACCUGAACCUAUUCUCAUCCAUGCUGCUGCCUUCCAGCAUCAAGGAUCUCUGCAGUUAGCCUUACCAUCAAGGUCUUUCCCUGCUUCUGAGGGUCCACAGCAACAUAGUCAGGAUAACCUGAGAGCUUGCUGCUAUAAAGACAACCCUCAGACCCUGAAACAGCAUCUGCAAGAAAGCCUUGGACAGCUACCUUCAGCAUUUCUCUGUUGUCAUGUGUAACAGAACUGGGAAGACAAACAACCUGUUCCCCUUCCACCUAGUGCUACAUAGGGGCAAGCCCCUGAAGCUGUAAUCAUGAAAAUCUCAAAAAAAA